CUUCCAGACUCCUACGGGAGGCAGCAGUGGGGAAUAUUGCGCAAUGGGCGAAAGCCUGACGCAGCGACGCCGCGUGAGGGAUGAAGGUCUUCGGAUCGUAAACCUCUGUCAGCAGGGAAGAACGGUCACUGUGCUAAUCAGCAGUGAAUUGACGGUACCUGCAAAGGAAGCACCGGCUAACUCCGUGCCAGCAGCCGCGGUAAUACGGAGGGUGCGAGCGUUAAUCGGAAUUACUGGGCGUAAAGCGCACGUAGGCUGUUGUGUAAGUCAGGGGUGAAAUCCCACGGCUCAACCGUGGAACUGCCCUUGAUACUGCAUGACUGGAAUCCGGGAGAGGGUGGCGGAAUUCCAGGUGUAGGAGUGAAAUCCGUAGAUAUCUGGAGGAACAUCAGUGGCGAAGGCGACUAUCUGGCACAUAACUGACGCUGAGGAGCGAAAGCGUGGGUAGCAAACAGGAUUAGAUACCCGUGUAGG
rnacentral:rRNA from 1 species